ACUUGGCAUAAUGCCUUCAAGGUCCAUCCAUGUUGUCACACAUGGCAAGAUUUCAUUCUUUUUAUGGUUGAAUAAUAUUCUAUUAGAUGUGGGAUAUAUAUAUACACACACAUAAUAUCCCAUUAAAUACCACAGUUUCUUUAGCCAUUCAUCCUUUGAUGGACAUUUAGGUUGUUUCCAUAUCUUGGCUAUUGUAAAUAAUGCUGCAGUGAACAGCAUGAAUGUGCAUAUAAUUUUUUAAAUGUGUUUUAAUUUUCUUGGGUGAAACCCCCAGAAGUGGAAUUUCUAGAUCAUAUGGUAGAUCUAUUUAAUUUUUUGAGAAAGCUCUAUAUUGUUUUCUAUAGUAGCUGCAUAAACUUACAUUCCUACCAGCAGUGAAAGAGGGUUCUUUUUUCUCCACAUCCUUGACAACACUUGUCUUUUUGGUAAUUGCCCAUCUGAGAGGUGUGAGGUGAUAUCUAGUGGUUUUGAUUUGCAUUUCCCUGAUGAUUAGUGAUGUUGAGCCUCUUUCAGAUACAUGUUGUCUAUGUCUUCUUUAGAAAAGCGUCUAUUCAGAUCCUCUGCCCACUUUUUUUUGGUUUUGGGUUUUUUUUUUUUGGUCUAAAAUUUUUAGGGCCACAUCCAUGGCAUUUGGAAGUUCCCAGACUAGGGGCUGAAUUGGAGCUGUAGCCACCAGCCUAUGCCACAGCAAGACAGGAUCUGAACCACGUCUGCAACCUAUAGCUCAGCUCAUGGCAACACUGGAUCCUUAACCCACUGAGGGAGGCCAGGGAUUGAACCCUUAUCCUCAUGGAUACUGGUAAGGCUCGUUACCGCUGAGCCACAGCAGAACUCCACUCUGCCCACUUUAUAACUGAUUUUUUUUGACUUGUAUAAGUUCUUUAUAUAUUUUUAUAUUAACAACUUAUCAGAUAUAUGUCUGUGAUUUGCAGAUAUUUUUUCCCAUUCAGUAGGUUGCUUUUUCAUUUUGUUGAUGGUUUCCUUUGCUGUGCAGAAGCUUUUGGUUUGAUGUAGUCCUUCUUUUUUAUUUUUCCUUUGGUGUUGAACCCAAAAAUCUUUGCCAAGACCAAUGUCAAGAAGCUUACUACCUAUGUUGCUUUGAGGAUUCUUAUGGUUCAGGUCUUACAUCCAAGCCUUUGUUUAUGGUCUAUGUAGUGGUCCAGUUUCAUUCUUCUGCAUGUGGCUGUCCCAUUUUCUUAGCAUCAUUUAUUGAAGAGAGUGUCCUUUCCCCACUGUAUAUUCUUGGCUCCUCUAUUGUAAAUUAAUUGACCAUAAAUGUAUGAGUUUAUUUAUAUCUGUUCCACUGAGCUAUGUGUCUGUUUUCCUGCCAAUACCAUGCUGUUUUGAUUAUUAUAACUUUGCAGUAGACUUUGAAAUAAGGGAACUUGAUGCUUAAAGCUCUCUUAUUCUUUAUCAGUAUGGCUUUGGCUAUGCAGGGUUGUGUGGUUCCAUACAAAUUUUAGGAUUCUUUGUUCUAUUUCUAUGAAAAAUGCCAUCAGAAUUUUUAGAGAGAUUGCACUGAAUCUGUAGAUUGUUUUAGGUAGUAUUGACAUUUAAACAGUAUCAAUUUUUCUAAUCCAUUAACAUAGUAUAUCUUUCCAUUUAUUUGUGCCUUCAGUUUCUUUCAGCAGUAUCUUAUAGUUUUCAGUAUACAGGUCUUUCAGCUGCUUGGUUAAAUUUAUUCCUAGGCAUUGUAUUCUUUUUGAUGCAAUUGUAAACGGGAUUGGUUUUCAUAUGUUGUAUUUCCAUUUUCAUUUGUCUCAUGGUAUUUUGAUUUCUUCACUGACCCACUGAUUUGUUAAGUAGCUUAAUUGCCACAUAUGUGUGAAUUUUCCAAAUUUCUUCUUGUAAUUGAUUCUACUUUUACAGCAUUGUGAUCAGAAAAUAUGCCUGAUAUGAUUUCAGUCUUCUUAAAUUUGUUAAGACUGUUUUGUGGUCUAACACAUGACCUAUUCUGGAGAAUGUUCCAUGAACACUUGAGAAGAAUUAUGUUUUAUUGCUCUUGGAUGGGAUGUUUUGUGUAUGUCUGUUAAGCCCAUCUAGUCUAAUGUGUCAUUUAAAGCCAGUGUUUCUUCAUUGAUUUUUCUCUGAGUGAUCUAUCCAUUGAUAUAAGAGGGUUUUUUAAGUCUUCUACUGUUACUGUAUUGCUGUCUAUUCUCCCCUUAGGUAUGUUAAUAUUUGCUUUGUACGUUUAGGUGCUCUUAUGUUGGGUGCAUAAAUAUUUAUGAGUGUUAUAUAUUGCUGGUGAAUUGACUUCUUUAUCCCAAGAGGUAAUCUUAAGUGAGAAGGCUAUUGACUAACAUCCUUGCUUAAAACAGGAAGACACAAGACUCCCCUUUGUUUUUUAAGUAAUUAUAAAGUGUUAGUAAAAUAAUUACCAUCUUACAGAAAAAAAGUUAGCUUUAAAGGAAGGAUAAGACAUCAAAAAAUACUAAUUCUGCUUAGUUCUAGAGUCCAGUAAGUUAAAGAAAUGUU
ensembl:lncRNA